UGGGGAAUAUUGGACAAUGGGGGGAACCCUGAUCCAGCCAUGCCGCGUGUGUGAAGAAGGCCUUAUGGUUGUAAAGCACUUUAAGCGAGGAGGAGGGUACUGGUAUUAAUACUACCAGCUACUGGACGUUACUCGCAGAAUAAGCACCGGCUAACUCUGUGCCAGCAGCCGCGGUAAUACAGAGGGUGCGAGCGUUAAUCGGAUUUACUGGGCGUAAAGCGUGCGUAGGCGGCUAAUUGAGUCGGAUGUGAAAUCCCCGAGCUUAACUUGGGAAUUGCAUUCGAUACUGGUUAGCUAGAGUGUGGGAGAGGAUGGUAGAAUUCCAGGUGUAGCGGUGAAAUGCGUAGAGAUCUGGAGGAAUACCGAUGGCGAAGGCAGCCAUCUGGCCUAACACUGACACUGAGGUACGAAAGCAUGGGGAGCAAACAGG
rnacentral:rRNA from 1 species